AGAAUACUACCCAAUAAUUUUGGUCAUAGAUUCAUCCACCAUAAUUCUACUUUGGAUCCAGCUUCUUCAACCUCUCUAUGUUUCUCUCAUUAACUGUACGUAUUUACUGUAUAUUUUCACUAUUUUUCAAUCAAUUGCUGCAGUAUACAUCAAAUUCAUUUAUGUGCAUGUUUCCAAAUUGAUUCUUAAUUUUGAAUUUUGGAAUUAUGUUAAUAUUGAUUAGUGUUCACUGUGCCCUUUGAUAUAUAGAUAAAUAACUUCCAAAUUACCGAUAAAAAUGGGUUCUUUUUUUGUGCGCUUGUUUAUUGAACUAUAAAAAUCCAUUUUUUUGGUAAUGCGGAGAAUAAGAGGCAUCUAAGAGAUUGUUAGUUUAGAUCCAAAACAAAAAUGGGAUUUCUGGUAACAAGUCUAAUAUUUGUUGCAAUUGAGGUUAUUGCAUCUCUGUGCACCAGAAUUUGUUGCAAUAGAGGCCCUUCUACUAAUCUGUAUGUUCUUUUUUUGUUUCAUUUAUGUCUUCCCUAUUAGAUUUCUACUUUACUUUACUUUGAUUGAUUAUAAUAUGUGAUGCAGGUUGCACCUAACUUUGAUUAUCACAGCGACCGUCUGCUGUUGGAUGAUGUAAGUGUGCUAUAUACUUGAAAUUUCUGUUUCAGCUGCAAAACUAUGUAGGGAGUACAUAGCUAUUGUUCUAUGAAUUUUUUUAUAUUUGAAAAUGUUUGGAUGCCUUUAGGUAGAGUAUGGAGCUUUGAAUAUAACACCAAAAAAGUAGAGUAUUGAAUAAUUGCAUUUCGUCCUUAAAGACUUUGGUUAGAUAAAAAUAGACCGUUUAGUCGAGCCACAACACGGGCGCAAGGGUCUAUCUAAACCAUUGAUCUGUCAUUACUGCUAAAAGCUUGCCAAAUCUAGCAAAUCAUCUCAAAGAUGCUUUGGAAAUGUUAAAAGAAUAGAUAACUCUCGAACUGAUAUAUAAUUUUUCGUGGAUUAAUUUACCCAAAAAGUAAGACUGCAUGAAGCACGGAAAAAAGAGCAAUAAAACCUCUCUCUAGGUAAAAAAUGAUUUCUUUCAUUACUGAUAAAUGAACCUUGGCCCUAAUUCAACCCCAAAAUUUAGUUCAUGAGGUGAGGAUUGCCCAAGACUAUAUAAGGAGAUCAAGGACCUCAAAUCCCACUGAUGUGAAAUAACUCAACACCCCCCUUACGCCUAGGCCUACAAACUGUAGCGUGGACAACAUAAAUGGGCGCCCAACAUCCGUAACAAUAAUUGGGAUGAACCCGACUCUGAUACCAUGAUAAAUGGACCUUGGGCCUAAAUCAAUCUUAAAAGCUAGCCUAUGAGAUGAGGAUUGCCCAAGACCAUAUAAAGAGAUCAAGGACCUCAACUCCUAACUCCUACCGAUGUGGGACAACUCAACACUUAAAAAAAAAGUUAAAAUAAUGAUUUGUCUUUGCUAUGUGCUGUAAUAUUUUAAGGAGAAGAGUUGGCAGAUCAGGGGAAAUCAUCUGCUUAUUACCUAAUAGACCACAAGGUUUUGAAGUACAAGCCUGUACCAAAUUGAAUUAACAUUUAAAUUUAUGAAAUUACCCAUUUCUCAAAUUCUAUGGCAUUAGAGACUCCACAUAAUUUGGUAGAAUGACAAAGAAUAUUACUUGAAAUUUUUACUUUCAAAUAGGAAAAGACUGAAUCAGUUGAAACUGCAAAACAUCAGAAAAGUCCCUCUGCCCUUGUUUAUUUGAUGUAGCAUGACUUUUAUGGUCAAAUUUCGGAUAUGAUCAGGAUGUUUAACACCCUUAUCCUGUCGAGAUUGAGAUUGGUAGUAAUUGAUACCAAAUGAGAUAGACAGAAGGUAGCAUAAUAACAGAAAGGCGAGAUAUUCGUGACUGGUCAAAGAUCAUGACGGAAAUCUCAUAAUGGAUCAAAGCAAGGACGAUUAAUUAGCUAAUCAUGAGAUUUCUUUAUAUAAUUAGUAUUAUAUCAUAAUUAGAAUUCCUCUACUAUUUAAAGAGGAGUUCUAAUUAUUUGUAAGACACUUACAUUCUAAGAGAUCAAAGCAAUAUAACACCUUUUCUUUAGCUCAUAUUCUUGUUCAUCAACUUGCUUAUUUCUUGACUUUUUUGGUUCUAACAAAAUUCUAGGGCACUCUAACUCGAGGGUUGCAUGACGUUUCAACAUUGGUUUGUUUUAUUUUAUUGUUAAUUCUGUUACUAAUCUUUAUAUUUAUCAAUUGAUAUUAGGUGAAAUCACGUGUCUUUAAAACCAAUUUAUAAGUUUAAUUGUUAUUCAAUUUUGAGGGUAAACUGUUUGUCGCCCACCGUGGGGCUAAGGAUAAUAGUGAUUGUCUGGUAUUAACUCCCAUAGCACAUGCUGCUUUACACUUGUUCUUAUAAAUGUCUUUCAUUUCAAG
rnacentral:lncRNA from 1 species